GACACUGCAACAAUGUCUUAAUCUCUGAGACGGAGAAAAUGUCAGACAGCGAGAAUUCUUCGAUAGAGCACUGACGAUCCAUCACUGUUUUCCUUCAUUGAUCUUGGUGGGAGUCACUCUCGUGAUGGCAAUCUCGGUGCCAAUUACGGUGGUUCCAACGGGACACUUGAUGGCAGGACGGGGGAGGCACCGCCACUUCUAGGCGACCAAUAGUAUUCUCGGCAGCAUUGUCUGCAAUCUCCCGACUCUGUCAGCCAGCAACAACCACAAUAGCAUUUAUCUGCUUGCUUUUGAGAAAGAUUGUCAACGUAUUCGUAGUAAACA